ensembl:lncRNA
AUCUCUUUCUGGAGAUUGCUCCUUUUGGAGUUUUCUAUUGUGAGCCUUGAUCCUUGGAUAUGGGAGGAGAAAUGGAUGCAGGAUUUCUGAAAGAAAAGUCUACUUCCAGCCUAGGUUGUACAGGAAAAAGUGGAAAAUGAUGCAGCUGACCCCAGCCUGGGUUGCCCUGGACAAGACCUGGCAUUGUUUUAGACACUAUGAUACAGCAGAGCACCUGCAAAGGAGGAAAACGGCUCUUGCUGUGCAGAUCGCAGCUUUGGAUAGCUUGAAGAUAACUGAAGGCUCCACCACUCUGCACAGUCUACUGCUGAAUGCUUCAACAUCAAUCUGAGAAAGGCUUUGUAGCUGCCAAGCGCCGGGUGUCUCUGCCACAGUGUAGGCUGUGCUCCCUUUCACUGUCACCAUGCCUGGGGCUAUCUGUGCCUUGCUCACUGGGUGGAAGCUGGGUGUUUGGGGGGCUGGUGGGGAGUUGUGUAGGGCAGGACUUGGGGCAGGUGCUCCCUUGGGCUGCAGUAGCACAAGGCAUUUCUAGGGGAUGGCAGUGCUCACUUCUGUGCUUUAUGCAUGCUGGCUCCUGGGCUGGGGAUGAGGAUAGCGCUGGCAGCCCUGGGUAGUGAUGCCAGAACCUGGCACGCUCAGGUGUGGGAUGGAGUUGCGAUGGUUGGGCUGGAGCAACUCUGGACAUGCUUGGGAGCAGGAUAACAGCCUGCGGAGGCUAAGAUCCCAACCAGGAGGCAGCAGGCAAGUUGAGGCAACUCUGGGGCUAGGCAGCAGCUGAACAGGAGUUGCAGUUUUCAACUGAGGUAGCCAAAUUCUGCCAAAAUCUUGUUUAAUAUGCCUAUUGUAUUUGCAGGUUUUCUUUCCUUUGUAAGAAUGGCAGCCUUUAAUCUUGGUAGUUUGUAUUCCUUUUGUAAAGUGGAGUUAUGAAUGUUUAGCCCCCUUUAGAAGAUCACCGAUAUCUGUGAGUGAAUGUUCCUGCAGACAACCACAGUAUUCAAGAUACAGCACUGUGUUCUCCACCUAAUUCUCACAUCAGUUUCCAAGCUGAAUCCAUGCACCUAAGGGCUGAAAUGUCUGUCAGUGAGGCUGUAGAGCUUGGUGGCUUUUUCAGGGAUGUUGUAACUGUCCGGGAGUAAAUCUCCAUGAAGUGCUGGGGACAGAGGAUGGCUGUAAAACUUCCAUAACCCUGAUGGGUAUGGUGUGACCAGGCUGGGGUGCUCACACAUCCCCUCACCUCCAGCAUCCAGCACAUGAUUUGCUGUUUAGGGAUGGGCACAGAACCAGUAUUUUAGGUUUAGUUAUAGUUGCAAAUACAUGACAGCUGUGUGCCAAUGUUAUUCUGAGUGGCUGAAUUCAAGAGCUUUAAUCCUUUUGGUUAAUGGGAAGAAAAGCGGAUGGCACCAGCUAUGUCUGUCUCAUGGAUCAUUGUCUGAUCCUGCUCUCCUUAAUGCCCAUGUCAGGGCUCUCUCGUGCCUCUGGCACUUCUCCUCCAGCCAUUGCUCCCUGUUUUGUUUUGCUGGCUGGGUAUUUCCUCAUAAGUACUCCCAACUCCUAUGCUACUCACUUGUCAUUCACUGUGGCUGUUCUUCCCCAGAGUGCCACAAAACAAGCCCACCUCUCCUAGCCCCAGUGUCGCACUCAGGGCUCCCAGACUGGGCUGCUGCGGCUGCUUCAAUUCCAAGACCAAGCUCUGUGCCAUGAGAACACUGAACCAUGUUCAUAGGCUGAUGUAAACUGGUGAAGCUCCAUUGAUGUUGAUCUACCAUAUACGAGCUCAAAAUACGGCUGAGAGUAAGUGGAUAAUUCCAUGGAAGUAUAGUGAGUGCUGAAGCAUACCUGUGUUGUGU